GUAUUGGCACCUUUUCUAUGUGUCUAUUUAAUCAACUCUACAAGUUUUGCCUAUCUAUCUAUCUAUCUAUCUA